rnacentral:rRNA from 1 species
CGAACGGCAGCGAGGAGAAGCUUGCUUCUCUAGUCGGCGAGUGGCGAACGGGUGAGUAUAGCAUCGGAACGUGCCAAGUAGUGGGGGAUAACCAAACGAAAGUUUGGCUAAUACCGUGUAAGCUCCAAGGAGGAAAGUAGGGGACCUAAAUAAGGCCUUACGCUAUUUGAUCGGCCGAUGUCGGAUUAGCUAGUUGGUGGGGUAAUGGCUCACCAAGGCAAUGAUCCGUAGCGGGUCUGAGAGGACGAUCCGCCACACUGGGACUGAGACACGGCCCAGACUCCUACGGGAGGCAGCAGUGGGGAAUUUUGGACAAUGGGGGAAACCCUGAUCCAGCCAUGCCGCGUGUAUGAAGAAGGCCUUAGGGUUGUAAAGUACUUUUGUUAGGGAAGAAAAGCUAGUUUUUAAUAAAAAUUAGUGAUGACGGUACCUAAAGAAUAAGCACCGGCUAACUACGUGCCAGCAGCCGCGGUAAUACGUAGGGUGCAAGCGUUAAUCGGAAUUAUUGGGCGUAAAGCGAGUGCAGACGGUUACUUAAGCCAGAUGUAAAAUCCCCAAGCUUAACUUGGGACGUGCAUUUGGAACUGGGUGACUAGAGUGUGUCAGAGGGAGGUAGAAUUCCACAUGUAGCGGUGGAAUGCGUAGAGAUGUGGAGGAAUACCGAUGGCGAAGGCAGCCUCCUGGGAUAACACUGACGUUGAGGCUCGAAAGCGUGGGGAGCAAACAGGA